GUGCUCACUUCAGCAGCACAUACACUAAAAUUGGAACAAUGCAGAGAAGAUUAGCAUGACCCCUUUGCAAGGAUGACGUGCAAACUGGGGAAUUGUUUCAUAUUUUC
ensembl:snRNA U6 U6 spliceosomal RNA